UAGGGAAUAUUGCAAAAUGGGCGAAAGCCCGAUGUAGCAACGCCGCGUGGGCGAUGAAGGCCUUCGGGUCGUAAAGCCCUUUUUGAGGGGAUGAGGUAGGACAGUACCCUCAGAAUAAGCCUCGGCUAACUACGUGCCAGCAGCCGCGGUAAAACGUAGGAGGCGAGCGUUAUCCGGAUUUACUGGGCGUAAAGCGCGUGCAGGCGGAUUGGAGAGUUGGAUGUGAAAGCUCCCGGCUUAACUGGGAGAGGUCGUUCAAUACUUCCAGUCUUGAGUGCAGUAGAGGGAAGUGGAAUUCCGGGUGUAGUGGUGAAAUGCGUAGAUAUCCGGAGGAACACCAGUGGCGAAAGCGGCUUCCUGGACUGUAACUGACGCUCAGACGCGAAAGCUAGGGUAGCAAACG
rnacentral:rRNA from 1 species